GGCUUGUUGGAUGUUUAUGACAAGUCGGGCCUGCUCGGUGUUUUAAUUAACAGCCGCGGUAACUUGACUGUGCAAAGGUAGCAUAAUCAUUAGUUUUUUAAUUGGAAGCUGGAAUGAAGGGUUUGACGGGGACGAGCUGUCUCGGUUGUAUGUUUCGAAUUUUAGUUUACUGUGAAGACGCAGUGCUGUGUGUAUUUGACGAGAAGACCCCAUAAAGCUUAUAAGGCAGUUUGCUUUUGUGGGUUAGUUUUAUUUUGUUGGGGCAACAGGCAUGAUUUGAUAAUGGUUUUUUUAUGUGUAUAUUUUUAUAGUCGUGGAUUUGAUCCUUUAUUUAUUGAUAGUAAGAUAAGCUACUUUGGGGAUAACAGCGUAAUUACACUGGAGAGUUCUUAUUGAUAGUGUAGUUUGCGACCUCGAUGUUGAAUUAAGAUACCAUAUGGCUGUAGCGGGCUAAGGGGGAGGUCUGUUCGACCUUUAAAUUCUUACA
rnacentral:rRNA from 1 species